rnacentral:rRNA from 1 species
GGGCGAGAGUAGUACUAGGAUGGGUGACCUCCUGGGAAUUCCUCGUGUUGCACCCC